GAUAUGAACCGUUAUAACCGGCGAUUUCCGAAUGGGGAAAACCAGUGUGACUCGUCACACUAUCAUUAACUGAAUCCAUAGGUUAAUGAGGCGAACCGGGGGAACUGAAACAUCUAAGUACCCCGAGGAAAAGAAAUCAACCGAGAUUCCCCCAGUAGCGGCGAGCGAACGGGGAGGAGCCCAGAGCCUGAAUCAGCAUGUGUGUUAGUGGAAGCGUCUGGAAAGGCGCGCGAUACAGGGUGACAGCCCCGUACACAAAAGCGCAUGUGCUGUGAGCUCGAUGAGUAGGGCGGGACACGUGGUAUCCUGUCUGAAUAUGGGGGGACCAUCCUCCAAGGCUAAAUACUCCUGACUGACCGAUAGUGAACCAGUACCGUGAGGGAAAGGCGAAAAGAACCCCGGCGAGGGGAGUGAAAAAGAACCUGAAACCGUGUACGUACAAGCAGUGGGAGC
rnacentral:rRNA from 1 species